rnacentral:rRNA from 1 species
GACGAACGCUGGCGGCGUGCUUAACACAUGCAAGUCGAGCGGUAAGGCCCUUUCGGGGGUACACGAGCGGCGAACGGGUGAGUAACACGUGGGUGACCUGCCCUCAGCUCUGGGAUAAGCCUGGGAAACUGGGUCUAAUACCGGAUAUGACCCCAUGACGCAUGUCGUGGGGUGGAAAGCCUUGUGCGGCUGAGGAUGGGCCCGCGGCCUAUCAGCUUGUUGGUGGGGUGAUGGCCUACCAAGGCGACGACGGGUAGCCGGCCUGAGAGGGCGACCGGCCACACUGGGACUGAGACACGGCCCAGACUCCUACGGGAGGCAGCAGUGGGGAAUCUUGCGCAAUGGGCGAAAGCCUGACGCAGCGAC